rnacentral:rRNA from 1 species
GUGGGGAAUUUUGGACAAUGGGGGAAACCCUGAUCCAGCCAUCCCGCGUGUAUGAUGAAGGCCUUCGGGUUGUAAAGUACUUUUGGCAGAGAAGAAAAGGUAUCCCCUAAUACGGGAUACUGCUGACGGUAUCUGCAGAAUAAGCACCGGCUAACUACGUGCCAGCAGCCGCGGUAAUACGUAGGGUGCAAGCGUUAAUCGGAAUUACUGGGCGUAAAGCGUGUGUAGGCGGUUCGGAAAGAAAGAUGUGAAAUCCCAGGGCUCAACCUUGGAACUGCAUUUUUAACUGCCGAGCUAGAGUAUGUCAGAGGGGGGUAGAAUUCCACGUGUAGCAGUGAAAUGCGUAGAUAUGUGGAGGAAUACCGAUGGCGAAGGCAGCCCCCUGGGAUAAUACUGACGCUCAGACACGAAAGCGUGGGGAGCAAACAGG